AAUAGGGCGCUUUAGUUGCUAGUAAUAGACCCGAAACCGGGCGAUCUAGCCAUGGCCAGGUUGAAGGUGCCGUAACAGGCACUGGAGGACCGAACCCACCUAUGUUGAAAAAUGGGGGGAUGAGCUGUGGAUCGGAGUGAAAGGCUAAUCAAACCGGGAGAUAGCUGGUUCUCCUCGAAAUCUAUUUAGGUAGAGCGUCGUGUCUUACCCUGGGGGGUAGAGCACUGUUUGGGCUAGGGGGUCAUCCCGACUUACCAACCCCAUGCAAACUCCGAAUACCCAGGAGUACAAUCACGGCAGACAGACAGCGGGUGCUAACGUCCGUUGUCAAGAGGGAAACAACCCAGACCGCCGGCUAAGGUCCCAAAUGACGUGCUAAGUGGAAAACGAAGUGGGAAGGCACAGACAGCCAGGAGGUUGGCUUAGAAGCAGCCACCCUUUAAAGA
rnacentral:rRNA from 1 species